rnacentral:rRNA from 1 species
AUAUGCCUACAACAUAGCGUUAAUGCACCGAAUCCCAUUAGAACUCCGUAGUUAAGUGCACUCAAGCUAGAGUAGUCCUGGGAUGGGUGACCGCCCGGGAAGUCCUAGUAUUUUACAUGCC